rnacentral:pre_miRNA from 1 species
CAUGCACUGGUGGGGUCCUUCAGCCUGGCCUGUGCCCUGUCGCAAUCCAGGACCCCUAAGGGGAUGUCGGAGAGUCAGUUUCGGCCCGAUUCCCACAGGCCAGGCCGAGGGACCCCACCAGUGCACA